GCUGUCUAAGACUAGCCAUGCACGUCUAAGUACAAACUAAAUGAUGGUGAAACUGCAAAUGGCUCAUUACAACGGUUAUGAUGUACCCGGGAGUUCCGAUGGAUAUUCCCAGUAACACUAGAACUAAUACAUGUCCCUGCGUUUAUUAGUUUCGCACAGUCCGUCGCUGAGUCAUGGUAAACAGUUGAUCGACUCGACGUCCCGGAACAGUUUCCGCCCCAUCAGCUUCGAUGGUUGGGUAUUGGCCUACCAUUGCAACAACGGGUAACGAGGAAUUAGGGUUUGAUUUCGGAGAGGGAGCCUGAAAAACGGCUACCACAUCUACGGAUGGCAGCAGGCGCGCAAAUUACCCAAUGCAGACACUGUGAGGUAGUGACGAGAAAUAAUAAAGCGGGACUUCUGUUUCGCUAUUAUAAUGAGGAAUAACCAAAGGUCAUUCCGAUUACCAACUGAUGGGAAAGUCUGGUGCCAGCAGCCGCGGUAAUACCAGCGUCAGUAGC
rnacentral:rRNA from 1 species